AGUCCAUUCAAGGUUUCAAGUACCAUGAUUCGCAUAGUUUCAACCAUACAAUUCAUGAUUGCGUGAAAAUGAAAUUCAUGGUCUUUUCACAAUGUUUUUCUAUUCGGGUAGUGUUGCACUGGUGCACCACUAGGUGCUGUCAAACUGUUUGUUUAUUCGGACGGUGUUGCACUGGUUUUGACCUGUCGGAGUUCUGCUUACGGACGGUGGCCCACCGAUAAUUUUGCCAGUGUUGCGAGAGAGCGUGUGAGUGAGUGAGAUAGCAAUACACUGGCGACGAUUUGUGUUUGUUUUUAUCGGAUACGGUGGAACACUCCACGAGUGGAGAAAACAAAUACGGUAUUAAAAUUUACUUGUAACUGCACAUUAACAGUAAUAGUUGUAGAACGAUUCGAAAUGACCCCGGAUCGGAAGGAAUAUCGCAACCGGACCGAUUACUGUCAAACCAUUAGUUGUCAGUUUGAAUCUAUCCGGUUUCCCUUCGAAAUCUGUUGGUUUUCCUGACAAUUUCUCCGCUGCCAUACAAUGACAGAUAUCGAAAUCGAUCAGUUUGAUUCGGUUCGGAUUUGCGUCGAGUUCUGUCAGUUUUGUUUGAAGGGCCUGUCAUUCGAAAACGAUCGAUUUUGUUUUUGCAUCGCAGCAACGGUUUUCGCAAUAUUUUUUUCUGUCGUCGGUUCGAUUGCGAGUUCCUACGCCAUAUAGAAAGAUUCUACCGCGAAACAACGAACGCAAAGGGCAGCCCGGUAAAUCCAGUCGGGAACAGCAGACCGGAUGUGUUCAACAGAUACCAGCGGUUCCAGGGACUUAACCUUGGAACGCUUCGUAAGAUUAGUAUUGUCAGUGACGAUGGUAAUAAUCCGGUGGUUUGAUCACCAAGGCCCGCCAAUCACCAUUCCUGCAACAUUUGUUACAUUAGAAUUCUAAUCAAAUCUAAUUGCUACCGUUUGACGAAGUUCCGACAACAACAGUACCUGGGCGUCUAUCUCAAUGUCAGCAAAGCCGGGGAAUCCCUGCUGCAUUAUUCGAAGCGGGAACGGGAAACCUAACAGAAUGCCGUUGCGUUGGACCCCCAUAGAAAAUUCGUACCCAAAAGAAAGAAGCUCCUUAGAAACUUCAGCGAUUCCAAAAGAAGAGGCAUCAUCCGAAUCCAGUUCGGAGAAUGAAGAUGAAGCUUCUGCCCCGGUGAGGAAACCGAACAGACAUCAGAACAGAUCCGAACAGACGUCAACAGUUGGUUCGCAAAUUGAACCAGGAAUCCUACAUCGAUCAUGGGAAACUUAGAAUCGUUCCUAUCAGGUGGCAGUGAUCAACGAUCAGAGUAUAAUCCGCCGAAAGGUUCCUACCAGCCGUCAUCCGAGCUCCGAAGGGCAGUCAGCGGAAGCAAGGUUUGAGCAAGAAAACGGAUUCUUACGAACAGCAGAAGUUGACAAGCUGUUGACAAAGCUGCACUAACCCUAAAUAUGACCGGGAAAUGAAAUACGAUUGUUUUCGAUGAUGGUGAAGAAGGGAUGGUCAAAAACCUAAACGAAUCAAAUCGAAAGACGAAGUCGAUGCAACUUAUUAACGCUGAGCAACUGAAGGGCAUGGAAGCUGCACUGAAAGGAGUUAGUUUUGCAUCUCAAUGAUUCCGAACAAACAAAAGACGAUCGGCCGAGGAACACAUCAGUACCGAAGUUUUUUGUACCCUAGACGACGCAAAGCGCAUCACUGGAGCUACGGAACAGCUACGAAACAAUGGCUACGGAAUCGGGUGGCGAGGGAGACGGAUUACGACGAGGAGCGGGAUGCUGCCUAUGAGAACAACGACAGCGUAAAUCAUCAGUUUUAUCAAAUAGUUUCUAUUAUCAGUGGAAUCCUCAUCAAUCAAAAUACAGAACAAUUUACGAUUAAUCUGUGGAAAAGAAGGAUCAUGAAAAAUCUUCGCCAGAGCAGUAACAUAACAUGGUGGAGGAUCUCAGCAGUCCAGUCAAAUCGGAACUGAAGAUUAUCUCUCAUGAUAACAACAUGGUCACUUUAUUUCACACCGUAGUUUAUAUCGCCGUCAACAAAACUCCAACAAUCCCACACUGCUGAAAAAGAUCCUUCGCAUACCGAUACACAAAUUGACAGCUCACUCGCAAAAACUUAUCGUCGUCAGGAAAGUUGUUUCACCAGGGCACUGAAUUCGUCGGAAAUCGGUUGGAUUUCUCGUCAGAAUUCUAACCGAUUCACGGGUUGAACGGUCCGAAAUCCUACCGAUUUUGGGCCGAUUUUUCGAUCCGGGACGUUCUUCAACGUUAUGCGUACCGUAAUCUGAAUAGUAAGGGAAAGUAGCACGCACACACACACAAAAGAAAAUUUUCUUAAAAAA